rnacentral:tRNA from 1 species
GGGAGCAUAGCUCAGCUGGGAGAGCACCUGCCUUACAAGCAGGGGGUCACAGGUUCAAGUCCUGUUGCUCCCACCA